UUAGCUGAAACCACGGAAGAAGAGGAUGUCAGGAUCCUGCAGACAGAUGAGGAGAGAGAAGAGCAGAUCACCUGGGCCUUGUGGCCUGGAGGAACCAAUGAGGAAUGCUAAAUGCAAAAGCAUGGAGAGAAAA